GGCUAUGGCGCUCACUUGGUUAGAGCCUAGUGUUUAUGAAGCUAAGAUUAUGGGUUCAAACCUCAUCAAACCCA
rnacentral:tRNA from 1 species